rnacentral:tRNA from 1 species
GGGGCUGUAGCUCAGUGGCAGAGCGCUUGCCUAGCAUGUGGGAGGCACUGGUUUGAUCCUCAGCACCA